GAGCACGUAGGUGGGUUUGUAAGUCAGAUGUGAAAGCCUUCUGUUCAAAGGAAGAACGGCAUCUGAAACUGCAAAUCUUGAGUGUAGGAGGGGAGAGUGGAACUUCUGGUGGAGCGGUGAAAUGCGUAGAUAUCAGAAGGAACGUCGGCGGCGAAAGCGACUCUCUGGCCUAUUACUGACACUGAGUGUGCGAAAGUUAGGGGAGCAAACGGGAUUAGAUACCCCGGUAGUCCUAACUGUAAACGAUGGGCACUAAGUAGAGGGAAUUACCAAUGUUCUCUCUGCCGUAGCUAACGCAUUAAGUGCCCCGCCUGGGGAGUACGGCCGCAAGGCUAAAACUCAAAAGAAUUGACGGGGGCUCGCACAAGCGGUGGAGCAUGUGGCUUAAUUCGAUGCAACGCGAAAAACCUUACCGGGGUUUGACAUGGUAGAAGUAGGAGCCCGAAAGGGUAACCAACGGUAUCCAGUCCGUAACUACUGCAGGUGUUGCAUGGCUGUCGUCAGCUCGUGUCGUGAGACGUUGGGUUAAGUCCCCUAACGAGCGAAACCCUUAUUUUUAGUUACCAUCGGGUUAUGCCGGGUACUCUAGAAAGACUGCCGUCGUCAAGACGGAGGAAGGUGGGGAUGACGUCAAGUCAUCAUGGCCCUUAUACCCCGGGCUGCACACGUGCUACAAUGGUCGGUACAAAAGGAAGCAAGACCGAGAGGUGAAGCGAAUCC
rnacentral:rRNA from 1 species